rnacentral:rRNA from 1 species
AUUGAACGCUGGCGGCAGGCCUAACACAUGCAAGUCGAACGAGUGGCGGACGGGUGAGUAAUGUCUGGGAAACUGCCUGAUGGAGGGGGAUAACUACUGGAAACGGUAGCUAAUACCGCAUACCAUCGGAUGUGCCCAGAUGGGAUUAGCUAGUAGGUGGGGUAAAGGCUCACCUAGGCGACGAUCCCUAGCUGGUCUGAGAGGAUGACCAGCCACACUGGAACUGAGACACGGUCCAGACUCCUACGGGAGGCAGCAGUGGGGAAUAUUGGACAAUGGGCGAAAGUCUGACCGAGCAACGCCGCGUGUGUGAAGAAGGUCUUCGGAUUGUAAAGCACUUUAAGUUGGGAGGCGUUACCAACAGAAUAAGCACCGGCUAACUUCGUGCCAGCAGCCGCGGUAAUAC